UUGGAGGGCAAGUCUGGUGCCAGCAGCCGCGGUAAUUCCAGCUCCAAUAGCGUAUAUUAAAGUUGUUGCAGUUAAAAAGCUCGUAGUUGAACUUCGGGGUUUACUCAUUGGUCAGGCUUAGGUGUCUGCACUGGUGAGAUGGAUCUCUACCUUCUGAGGAACUUUCAUGCCAUUUAUUUGGUGUGAUUGGAAAUCAGGACUGUUACUUUGAAAAAAUUAGAGUGUUUAAAGCAGACUAUCGUCUGAAUACAUUAGCAUGGAAUAAUGAAAUAGGACGGACUGAUUCUAUUUCGUUGGUUUCUAGGAUCACCGUAAUGAUUAAUAGGGAUAGUUGGGGGCAUUAGUAUUCAAUUGUCGGAGGUGAAAUUCUUGGAUUUAUUGAAGACUAACUACUGCGAAAGCAUUUGCCAAGGAUGUUUUCAUUAAUCAAGAACGAAAGUUAGGGGAUCGAAGACGAUCAGAUACCGUCGUAGUCUUAACCAUAAACUAUGCCGACUAGGGAUCGGACGAAGUUAAUUUUAUAAUGACGCGUUCGGCGCCUUACGGGAAAC
rnacentral:rRNA from 1 species